rnacentral:rRNA from 1 species
UAACACGUGGGUAACCUGCCUCAAAGAGGGGAAUAGCCUCCCGAAAGGGAGAUUAAUACCGCAUAAUAUGUUUUGGUCACAUGGCCUUAACAUCAAAGGAUUUCUUCGGAAAUUCACUUUGAGAUGGACCCGCGGCGCAUUAGCUAGUUGGUGAGGUAACGGCUCACCAAGGCGACGAUGCGUAGCCGACCUGAGAGGGUGAUCGGCCACAUUGGAACUGAGACACGGUCCAG